rnacentral:rRNA from 1 species
UACGUAGGUGACAAGCGUUGUCCGGAUUUACUGGGCGUAAAGAGCGCGCAGGCGGUCGAUCAAGUCGAGUGUGAAAGCCCCCGGCUCAACUGGGGAGGGUCAUUCGAUACUGAUCGACUCGAAGGCAGGAGAGGGUAGUGGAAUUCCCGGUGUAGUGGUGAAAUGCGUAGAUAUCGGGAGGAACACCAGUGGCGAAGGCGGUUCACUGGACCGGUACUGACGCUGAGGCGCGAAAGCGUGGGGAGCAAACGGG